GAUGAACGCUGGCGGCGUGCUUAACACAUGCAAGUCGAACGGAAAGGCCCAAGCUUGCUUGGGUACUCGAGUGGCGAACGGGUGAGUAACACGUGGGUGAUCUGCCCUGCACUUCGGGAUAAGCCUGGGAAACUGGGUCUAAUACCGGAUAGGACCACAUUUUGGAUGGUGUGGUGGAAAGUUUUUCGGUGUGGGAUGAGCUCGCGGCCUAUCAGCUUGUUGGUGGGGUAAUGGCCUACCAAGGCGUCGACGGGUAGCCGGCCUGAGAGGGUGUACGGCCACAUUGGGACUGAGAUACGGCCCAAACUCCUACGGGAGGCAGCAGUGGGGAAUAUUGCACAAUGGGCGCAAGCCUGAUGCAGCGACGCCGCGUGGGGGAUGACGGCCUUCGGGUUGUAAACUCCUUUCGCUAGGGACGAAGCGCAAGUGACGGUACCUGGAGAAGAAGCACCGGCUAACUACGUG
rnacentral:rRNA from 1 species